rnacentral:rRNA from 1 species
UACGAAGGGGGCUAGCGUUGCUCGGAAGUACUGGGCGUAAAGCGCACGUAGGCGGUCUUUUAAGUCGGGGGUGAAAUCCUGGAGCUCAACUCCAGAACUGCCUUCGAUACUGGAAGACUUGAGUCCGGGAGAGGUGAGUGGAACUGCGAGUGUAGAGGUGAAAUUCGUAGAUAUUCGCAAGAACACCAGUGGCGAAGGCGGCUCACUGGCCCGGUACUGACGCUGAGGUGCGAAAGCGUGGGGAGCGAACAGG